UCGCACGGGGCAGCAAUGCCCAGUGGCGAACGGGAGAGUAAUGAAUCGCUAACGUACCCCGGACUCCGGGAUAGCCAGCCGAAAGGUUGGGUAAUACCGGAUGACAUAUCCCGCAGGCAUCUGUGGGAUCUCAAAGGUCCGCCGGUCUGGGAGCGGGCGAUUUCGUAUCAGCUAGUUGGUGGGGUAACGGCCCACCAAGGCGACGACGCGUAGCCGGACUGAGAGGUUGGCCGGCCUCAUUGGGACUGAGACACUGCCCAGACUCCUACGGGGGGCUGCAGUAACGAAUCUUCCGCAAUGCGCGAAAGCGUGACGGAGCGACGCCGCGUGUGGGACGAAGCCCUUCGGGGUGUAAACCACUGUCAGGGGUUACCAAGUUCUGAGGAGCCCCAGAGGAAGGCACGGCUAACUCUGUGCCAGCAGCCGCGGUAAGACAGAGGUGCCAAGCGUUA
rnacentral:rRNA from 1 species